rnacentral:lncRNA from 1 species
CGACUGCUUGUAUGGUAAUGGAUUAUAAGAAUUAUUUUUCUUUUUCCCACUGCUUGAUUUUUCCAAAAUAUGUGUAACUACAUACUAUAGAAUCCUUUGAAGACAAUUAAUUUCCACUAUGCAAAAGUGAGUAUACAGCACAAUGCCAGGCACAUAGCAAAGGUUCAGUGUUAAAAAACAAAAUAACAGCAAAAGACCUGUAACCUCUCAUUAGUCUAUAUCUACAGAGACUCAAAACAUUAUGCAAGGGUGAAAGAUAAGGUUGACUCGUUUCAAAAUGAAAUGAUGUUUUAACCUGAAACUGCUCUACUACAUUUCACAUGACAAACUCAGCUGACCAUUCCCAUAAAGCACUCUGGCCAUACUGAAAAUCCUUGAUUUUGUUUAAAGAUACAGAACACCUUAAUGAUGGGUAACUUCGGGGAAAGCUACUCUGGUAGGAAGCCUACACAGCUAAUAAAAGAAUUUGUGCC